CAGGCUUGAAUUUUAAUUUGCAUUCAAAAUUUUAUUAGGGAAAGGUUUUCGGAAAAGAAAACAGAAAAGAAAAAAAACCUUCUGCUUUUGGCCCGAAGGCCCUAUCCUCCCUCCCCUUUCCUUCUCUCUCGGCCUCGGCCCAAGCCGCGCCCUCCCUCUCCCCUUCCGUUCUUCACGCCGCGGCCCAGACCAGCUUGCCUCGGCCCAACAGCCCCCCACCCCCCCCGCGCGCUGACCUCCCCCUCUUUCUCUCUCUGACCCC
rnacentral:lncRNA from 1 species